CCCUCACUUUCCUUUCAGCCACCACAGCAGCACAUCUCCAUGCUCCAAGCCCUGCAAACUUUGGCAAACACCUCCUGGCCAGGAGCAAACCCCCAAUAAACCCUUCCAUCCUGUAACUCCUUGCCUCGGGUUUCUCUUUUCAGGUGGUGGCACAGAGCUCCAUCCCAGUGCUCCCAGUAAGCGGCUGUCCCCAGCCUUGCACCAGGACUGGAUGUUGGUGACUCACAGAGCGCAGACCCCAAAGGCACAGCUGGGAGCUCAGCUCCAUCCCGCUGUGCACUGCAGUGAAUCACUUCCAGCAGGAGAUGCUGCGGCCUCAGACGGUGCCGUGGGAUGCAAAGCAGGGGGUUCGUUCCGUAGGGAGCGUCGUGGCUUCAUCCUGUCUGCGUGCACACACUGCCUGCCCAACGCUCCGCGCUGCUCUGCCCACAAAGGAAGAUGCAAAGCUCCUCUUGCAGAUACCAGCCCACAAGCGCAGAGUUCCUGGAGCUUCUCCAUGCUGGGCUCCAUCCCAGCCCCAUUGGUUCCCAUCCUGCAGUUCGUGCUCAGCUCUCACAGCAUCCGCCCCCCCCGACCUCCCCACAGCUCCCUGUUUGCCCAUCCUUCACACCCCUUAUCCCCAUUGCUCCAUGCACUUUGGCACCACGCUGUCCCUCCCUCCUCUCCCACCAUCCUAAAAUCCCAGCAAGGCCAAGAAGAAGCCAAUCCCCUUUUCUCCACCAUGCACAGAACCAGAUCUGCUUCCAAAGGAGUGGAGAGACCCACUCAGUCCUCCUGCAUCGGCUUCAACGUCUGUGGGAAAGCAGAGCAGUCAGCAAUGAGGAAGGCAUUUAUGGGAGGAUUUGCUUCAUCUGCUUCUGGAAAAAGCUGAUAAAGCAAUAAAUAAGGGGCUGGAAGGGCAGGGAGCGAAACUGCCCCCGGAUGUUCGCUUUGGAGGUUGGAAUUGGGAGUGAGAAUAACGGAGGGGAAUUGUGUUUCUCCCUUCCCAACGGCGAGCAGAGCUGGAUGGGACCCAAAAGGAAGGCACCAACAAACCAGCACGGUUGCAUGGCUUCCCUCAGGCUGUUCUCCCAAAGCCCACCGGUGGGAUGAGGCCACAAAGCGCAGAGCAGAGGGGCAGUCGGGUGAUGCUGCUGAUGCACGUCCCAAAGAACGCGGAGUUAUUUCUAUGUGAGCGGCUUUGCGCUCACAGCUGACUCAGUGCUCAGCAUCUCCUCCCUCCGAGCUCUGGGCCAAACCAGAGCUGCGCCAGGGAUGGAGGGAAGGUCCUGGGUCCUCUCCGUGGCCCAUGUGGGGCAGCGCCUUAGCUUGAGUUGGGGUGGGAUGGGAGAGGAUGGGGUGCGCACCCUCCCACUGCCACGUGGCCGUCGCCCUCCAUUGCUCUGCUAUCAGUAAAUGGGUUGGAAAGAAGAAGAAUUUGGGGGGGAGGGGGGAAGGGUGAGGAUCCUUCCCCACCCCACCUACACCAGCAGGCAGGAGGUGGACUCAAUGGUCCCUAUGGGUCCCUUCCAGCCUGGGAGACUCCAUGACCCUGUAACACUUCUCUGUAACUCUGUCCCUACAGCCCACGUAAAACCCCUUUGCCCUCCUCGCAGCCCUUGGGCAGAAAGCCCCCAAAACUCCAAAAACCUCCCAAAACCCAAACCCUGAAGGCAUCACAGAGCGAAGGGCAGCCGCUCCACCUCCAUCCCAAACGACCUUCCUGCUGGGGAAGAAGAGCCCACAGAAACCCCAAGCAGCCAAGUGAUGCCUGCGGUGGUCCCACUGCCCUCCAUCCCAUGGAUGUCCCCAUGCCUGGAGAUGGGGCUGGGGGAGGGUGGGCUGUGGGAUCACGGCCCCAUUUGGGCACCUCCGAGGGCAGAGCCCCACUGGGCUGCUCCCCACCCUCUGCUCCCCCCGUCCUGCAGCAGACACCGCUCACAGCCCCAGCAGCACAUGUGGGAGGGCCCCGCCAGCCUUCAAAGCUCCAUCUGGGGGGGGGAAUGGGAGGGGGGGGGGGAGACGAAAGGGCCGCUUCCACUCCUGGCCUGAGAUGAAAGGAAAUGUUUCCCUCCGCGCCUGGAAUGAGUUCUGGUGCUUUGGAGCUGAGGCUGAGGCCCAUUUCCUGAGCGCCACAGCGAGGAGCUUUCAUUUGCACGGGGACUUUGCUGAUGGGACGCGGGAGCAGCUGGCUGAGAUGUCAGCGUGUGCCCAUCCCUGAGCACAGGGGAUGCAGCUCUGGGGAUGCUCUCUCUCACACUUCCCCCUGUGCCCCCAAUUUGCUCAGCCUGAGGCUGACGAAAGCCUUUGUCACCACCCCCAGGGUGACAGCAUCCCUUGGGUAAGCUGACAAAGCCACCCUGGGGGCACAGAGAGGGGAUGUGGGAUCCUGCAUGGCCAAUGGGGCCAACCUGAGCGCCAGCCUUUCCUCGUUCUGUCAGAGGAAGUUCUAUUCUGAUUAAAACCCG
ensembl:lncRNA